UACGUAGGGCGCAAGCGUUGUCCGGAAUUAUUGGGCGUAAAGAGCUCGUAGGCGGCUUGUCACGUCGGGUGUGAAAGCCCGGGGCUUAACCCCGGGUCUGCAUUCGAUACGGACAGGCUAGAGUGUGGUAGGGGAGAUCGGAAUUCCUGGUGUAGCGGUGAAAUGCGCAGAUAUCAGGAGGAACACCGGUGGCGAAGGCGGAUCUCUGGGCCAUUACUGACGCUGAGACGCGAAAGCGUGGGGAGCGAACAGG
rnacentral:rRNA from 1 species